UUACGGCCAUAUCCCGUUGCAACACCAGUACCGAUAUGAUCACCAAAGUUAAGCAAUGUCAAGCCUGUUAAGUUCCUAGAUGGGUGACCGCUUGAGAAUACCAACUACUGC